rnacentral:tRNA from 1 species
CAGAAAAUAGUAUAAUAAUUAUUUAAAUUUUGGGGAUUUAAGAUGAGUGAUCUUUUCUGA